rnacentral:lncRNA from 1 species
CAUCUAAGGUGUGAAAGUUUUUAUGAUCAUGGAUUACUAUUCUGAUCUAAUAACACCAUUUACUCUCUACGUGUGUUGGGCGCUUGUUAGGUAACUGAUGUGACUGAGCUACAGUGACGUCCAUGUGUUCAGGUUGACGUUUUGGGGGCGUGUCACAGUGACAGCCAGCUGCAGUUAAUAGAAUGUGCCUGUAAAGUCUGUGGUUAAGCUGAAUGUGUAUUUGCUUGUCAGAAGUUAUGUUCCAUAAAAGAAGACAUGAAGAGAUGAAAGCACCCGGAUUUUACUCAGGUGGAUUUUCAUGCUGGCACAUGUUUCCCUCGUCUAUCAGACCGAAGACGCCAGGGUCACGUGUUCAGUUUCUACCCUGGUUGCUCAUACACCUGCUUGUCAUCCUGCUGCCAGGCCAAGCUUCCUGUAAUCACACCUCUGCUGCACCUUCUUCUCCUCCUACAACAACCACUGCUGCACAGGCCUCAGAAUACUACUUUAUUGAUGUCACUGUGGACGUCACUGGACAGAAGAAAGAUGAAUCUGAGAUUAUUGCUUGGCUUAAACAGAUCUUCCAAACCCAGUUGGAGAAGUGUGCACAGCCCACCUCUCCACAAACAUCCACACCUACAAGCAACUCAACUGAGACGACGACAACAACAGUGCAAAUAUACAACAUAACCACUGCUGCAACCACAGUGGAUACAACAACACAGAAUUACACAACAGAGCUAUCUGCAGUGAAUUCAACAACACCAGAUAACACCACAACGACAGCUGUAACCAUGGUGCCUACACCAAAUAACACAACUACAGCUGUACCCACGGUGCCUACACCAAAUAACACAACUACAGCUGUACCCACGGUGCCUACACCAAAUAACAAAACUACAGCUGUACCCACGGUGCCUACACCAAAUAACAAAACAACAGCUGUAACCACGGUGCCUACAACACCAAAUAACACAACUACAGCUGUAACCACGGUGCCUACAACACCAAAUAACACAACUACAGCUGUAACCACGGUGCCUACAACACUAAAUAACAAAACUACAGCUGUACCCAUGGUGCCUACACCAAAUAACAAAACUACAGCUGUAACCACAGUGCCUACAACACCAAAUAACACAACUACAGCUGACACAGUGCCAACAGCAAACUACACAACAGCUACAGCGACAUCCACAGCUACCACAUCAACAGAAGGCACAACAAACACCAGCACAACACCGGCUACAACUCAGAACAGCAGCUCCACCACCUCUUCAGCCAUCAGCACUCGAGAAAGAAUCAGUGUAGCAGUGAAUCUGCCAUUUUGGGCAACAAAGUCCUAUCAGCGAGUGAAACGCGUAGUUCGUCAAAUAAGUGGCAACAUGACAGACAGCAGGUAUGACUGCAACCUUUUUUCAAAUUAA